rnacentral:rRNA from 1 species
GUUUGAUCCUGGCUCAGAAUGAACGUUGGCGGCGUGGAUUAGGCAUGCAAGUCGAACGGGCCUGGUAGCAAUAUCAGGUCAGUGGCGUAAGGGUGAGUAAGGCGACGGCAACCAACCCCAUGGUUGGGCAUAGCCGCGGGAAACUGCGGGUAAUUCCCAGCGAUGUUCGUACCGGGCAUCCGGUGUGAACCAAAGUUCUGGCGCCGUGGGACGGGCCGUCGUGGUAUUAGGUAGUUGGCGGGGUAAUGGCCCACCAAGCCUCUGAUGCCUACCGGGCGUGCGAGCGUGGCCCGGCACACUGGGACUGAGACACUGCCCAGACUCCUACGGGAGGCUGCAGUCGAGAAUCUUCGGCAAUGGGCGCAAGCCUGACCGAGCGACGCCGCGUGGAGGAUGAAGGCCUUCGGGUUGUAAACUCCUGUCGAGGGGGAGGAAG